GACUUAAAAUCCGUCGAUUUUAUAAUCAUGAGG
rnacentral:tRNA from 1 species